UGGGGAAUCUUGGACAAUGGGCGCAAGCCUGAUCCAGCCAUGCCGCGUGAGUGAAGAAGGCCUUCGGGUUGUAAAGCUCUUUUACCAGGGACGAUAAUGACGGUACCUGGAGAAUAAGCCCCGGCAAACUUCGUGCCAGCAGCCGCGGUAAUACGAAGGGGGCUAGCGUUGUUCGGAAUUACUGGGCGUAAAGCGCACGUAGGCGGAUUGUUAAGUCAGAGGUGAAAUCCCGGAGCUCAACUUCGGAACUGCCUUUGAUACUGGCAAUCUAGAGUCCGGAAGAGGUUAGUGGAAUUCCCAGUGUAGAGGUGAAAUUCGUAGAUAUUGGGAAGAACACCAGUGGCGAAGGCGGCUAACUGGUCCGGUACUGACGCUGAGGUGCGAAAGCGUGGGGAGCAAACAGGAUUAGAUACCCCAGUAGUCCCUGAGCGGGCUGGCA
rnacentral:rRNA from 1 species